rnacentral:rRNA from 1 species
GCGCACCAGGCGAGAAAACUUCACAAUGUGCGAAAGCACGAUGAGGGAAUCCCAAGUGCUUGCUCGUAAGAGUAAGCUGUUUCUCUGUCUAAAACGCAGAGAGAGUUAGGGCUGGGUAAGACGGGUGCCAGCCGCCGCGGUAAUACCUGCAGCUCGAGUGGUGGCCGCUAUUAUUGGGCCUAAAACGUCCGUAGCCGGUUUAUUAAAUGCCUGGGUAAAUCGGACCGCUUAACGGUUCGAAUUCCGGGUAGACUGAUAAACUUGAGACCGGGAGAAGCUAGAGGUACUCCUGGGGUAGAGGUGAAAUUCUGUAAUCCUAGGGGGACCACCAGUGGCGAAGGCGUCUAGCUAGAACGGGUCUGACGGUGAGGGACGAAGCCCUGGGGCGCAAAC